CCUACGGGUGGCAGCAGUGAGGAAUAUUGGUCAAUGGACGCAAGUCUGAACCAGCCAUGCCGCGUGCAGGUAGACGGCUCUAUGAGUUGUAAAAUGCUUUUGUACGAGGGUAUAUCCGGAUACGUGGAUCGGGUUGAAGGUAUCGUACGAAUAAGGAUCGGCUAACUCCGUGCCAGCAGCCGCGGUAAUAAGGAGGAUUCAAGCGUUAUCCGGAUUUAUUGGGUUUAAGGGGUGCGUAGGCGGGUCGAAAAGUUAGAGGUGAAAUCCCCGGGCUCAACUGCGGCACUGCCUCUGAUACUGUCGGGCUAGAGUUUAGUUGCGGUAGGCGGAAUGUAUGGUGUAGCGGUGAAAUGCAUAGAGAUCAUACAGAACACCGAUUGCGAAGGCAGCUUACCAAACUACGACUGACGUUGAGGCACGAAAGCGUGGGUAGCAAACAGGAUUAGAUACCCUUGUAGUC
rnacentral:rRNA from 1 species